AAAUAAAGAUAUUGUGCUCAACUAAAAAAUAAAUAUUAAAAAAGAAAAAAAGCAAGGAAGUCCUCUUGUAGAGAGAAUGACCAUGCUGACACCUUGAUUUGGAGAUUCUAACCUCCUAAACCAUGAGAUAAUAAGAUUCAGUACUUAGUUAUAGAAGUUCUAAGAAACUAAUAUAGAUUUUGGAACUGAGAAAUCAGGUGCUGAUGCAAAAUAUAUCAGAGAUGUGGAAGUGGCUUUGAAAACUGGGUAAUGAGUAGAGGCUGCAAGAAUUUUGAGCCACUUGAUAGCAAAUCCUGUAUUGCCUUGAAAAGACUGUUCAUGGAAAUGUGAAUGUUACAGGUGCUUCUGCUGAGACCUCAGAUGGGAAUGAGGUCAUGUUAUUAGAAUCUGGAGGAAAGGUAAUUCUGGUUAAUAUGUGGCAGAAGACUUACUGAAUUUUAUUUUGGGUGCACAGUAGAUGUACUCAUAUGCAAACAAUAAACUCAUAUUUAGCUGAGGUUUCUAAACAAAUAAUGAAAGGUGCUGAUUAGUUUCUCCUCUCUAAUUAUACUAAAAUGUGAUAGGAUAGAGAAAUAUUGAAGAUGAAAUUCUGUUUCAGGACUGCAACAUAGGAAUUCUGACUGUUUCCAGCCCCAUGUCCUGCACUGUGGAUUUCAAACUCAAGACAUCAACACUUACCUGAAUUUCUACCUACCAAUACACAUAGUUACCCUGCAGGCUUACUCUGCAGUGUCCUAACAUAGGUUGUUCCACUGCCUGGAAAGUUCUCACCCAACUGAGCCUUCAGAUUGAAGCCCAGCUAUCAUUUCUCCAGGGAAGUCUUCUUGAACUGUCAAAGACAUCAUGCAGAUUCCUUACUGAAUGAUUUCAUAACUCCAUAAUUUUUAUCCAAGGAACUUGUCAAAAUUAGCUAUUACACAUUACUAAAAGGAUUUGUUUCUGUCUUUACAAGGCUGUGAGCAAUGUAAGAGCAUAAUCUUUUCUGUUCUGAAUCCCCAAUCCCUAUCAUAGUUUCUGGCAUAAAGAAUGCAUUCAAUAUGCGUUGUUGAAUGAAUAAAUGAAUGGAUGAAAAAAAAAAGAAUUAAAAAAAAGAUGACCCAGAGAAAACUGCAUUAGAGCUCUCUCUCUGGAGAUUGCUCCAAUGGAACGACUCCUUGUCUCAUUCCUUGUGCCAAUGCCACUCAUCCUUCAGGACCCCUGGACCCUGCUAGGGCAGGACCCUGGAAGGUAGGUGUGGCCUCUCCUACCUUCUGGUUUUCAAAGUAUUCUUUUUACUGAGGACAGAGCACCACAUAGAGUUCACUGAUCCAGUAUGUCUCCUGCAUCCCACAAGAUAGCACCCCAUCCUCAUAAGGGAGUCCUCUGUGCUGGCAUCCAGAAUUGAUCUACUUUCUCAAGCAUAUGUCUUAGCAAUACCCAUUAACCUACUGACCACCUGGUGCCCACCUGCCUCUUUA
rnacentral:lncRNA from 1 species